rnacentral:rRNA from 1 species
GUUAGACGGGGCCCGCACAAGCAGCGGAGCGUGUGGUUUAAUUCGAUGCAACGCGAAGAACCUUACCAAGGCUUGACAUGCCAGAAGUAGGAACUCGAAAGAGAGACCACCUGUAUCCAGUCAGGAACUGGCACAGGUGCUGCAUGGCUGUCGUCAGCUCGUGCCGUGAGGUGUUAGGUUAAGUCCUGCAACGAGCGCAACCCUCGUCGCUAGUUAAAUUUUUCUAGCGAUACUGCCCGUAAAACGAGGAGGAAGGUGGGGAUGACGUCAAGUCAGCAUGGCCCUUACGCCUUGGGCUACACACACGCUACAAUGGGUGAUACAACGGGUUGCGAGAGAGCGAUCUGGAGCUAAUCCCUAAAAUCAUCCUCAGUUCGGAUUGCAGGCUGAAACUGCCUGCAUGAAGUUGGAGUUGCUAGUAACCGCAGGUCAGCACACUGCGGUGAAUACGUUCUCGGGCCUU